GAAGGUGAAGUCGUAACAAGGUUUCCGUAGGUGAACCUGCGGAAGGAUCAUUACCACACCAAUAAAUCCACAACCUCGUGAACUGUUUCCUAAACCGUAUUGCUAUUUGUGUGUAUUCUGUAAAGAAAUAUCGGAUGAAUAACAAAACAUAUUAUAAAACUUAUUAUAUUAUAUAUCUGAAAUUAAAGUAAUAACCUAUUACAACUUUCAGCAGUGGAUGUCUUGGCUCACACAUC
rnacentral:misc_RNA from 1 species